GUUUACCUGUGUGACUGCGUACCUUUUGUAUAAUGGGUCAGCGACUUAUAUUCUGUAGCAAGGUUAACCGAAUAGGGGAGCCGGAGGGAAACCGAGUCUUAAUUGGGCGUUAAGUUGCAGGGUAUAGACCCGAAACCCGGUGAUCUAGCCAUGGGCAGGUUGAAGGUUGGGUAACACUAACUGGAGGACCGAACCGACUAAUGUUGAAAAAUUAGCGGAUGACCUGUGGCUGGGGGUGAAAGGCCAAUCAAACCGGGAGAUAGCUGGUUCUCCCCGAAAGCUAUUUAGGUAGCGCCUCGUGAAUUCAUCUCCGGGGGUAGAGCACUGUUUCGGCUAGGGGGCCAUCCCGGCUUACCAACCCGAUGCAAACUGCGAAUACCGGAGAAUGUUAUCACGGGAGACACACGGCGGGUGCUAACGUCCGUCGUGAAGAGGGAAACAACCCAGACCGCCAGCUAAGGUCCCAAAGUCAUGGUUAAGUGGGAAACGAUGUGGGAAGGCCCAGACAGCCAGGAUGUUGGCUUAGAAGCAGCCAUCAUUUAAAGAAAGCGUAAUAGCUCACUGGUCGAGUCGGCCUGCGCGGAAGAUGUAACGGGGCUAAACCAUGCACCGAAGCUGCGGCAGCGAACGUAUCACUUAAAGCGAUUCAGCGGGUUACGAUUGACGGAGCGAAGCGACGUCAAAGCGUAUACAAAGUCGAGUCGGUUUAAGGAUACGUUCGUUGGGUAGGGGAGCGUUCUGUAAGCCUGUGAAGGUGGCCUGUGAGGG
rnacentral:rRNA from 1 species